GAAUAUUGGACAAUGGGGGAAACCCUGAUCCAGCAAUGCCGCGUGUGUGAAGAAGNCCNNCGGGUNGNAAAGCACUUUAAGUUNNNNNGAAAAGCUGCUAGUUAAUAGCGAGCGGUGUUGACGUUACCAACAGAAUAAGCACCGGCUAACUCCGUGCCAGCAGCCGCGGUAAUACGGAGGGUGCAAGCGUUAAUCGGAAUUACUGGGCGUAAAGCGCGCGUAGGCGGUUAUUUAAGUCAGAUGUGAAAUCCCCGGGCUUAACCUGGGAAUUGCAUUUGAGACUGGAUGGCUAGAGUGUGGUAGAGGUGAGUGGAAUUUCAGGUGUAGCGGUGAAAUGCGUAGAUAUCUGAAGGAACAUCAGUGGCGAAGGCGACUCACUGGGCCAUUACUGACGCUGAGGUGCGAAAGCGUGGGUAGCAAACAGG
rnacentral:rRNA from 1 species